ensembl:miRNA
GUAAGCAGGGGCUCUGGGUGAUGUGAGGAGCAACAGGCACCCUCCUCCAUGGCCCCUGCUCAUUCCU